rnacentral:snRNA from 1 species
GUAUUUAUCUCGCUGGCAGAACAUUUACGAAAAUUGGAACGACGCAAAGAAGAUUAGCAUGUGGCCUACGGAACGAUGACUCGCAAUAUCGUGAAAUUUUCCAGAAUUUU